rnacentral:lncRNA from 1 species
UGAAAGGGAGCCGACAUCGACGGAAGCAGGACGUGGAAGGCCAGAAGGAGGUCAACAAUAGCUGCCGCGAAUAUUGUAGGCCGCCGACCACGAUUGGGGCCCAACAUCGAUCGAACCGGCGGUGGAGAGAGGCGUUGCUGACCGGCGGUGGUGAGUUGGCAAGGAUGAGGAAGCAGAAACGACGUCGUUUUGAAUGAAGCGGAUUAAAAAAAAAAAAGAAAAAAUCAAGCAGG